UACGAAGGGGGCUAGCGUUGCUCGGAAUUACUGGGCGUAAAGCGCACGUAGGCGGAUUGUUAAGUCGGGGGUGAAAUCCCGGAGCUCAACUCCGGAACUGCCUUCGAUACUGUCGAGCUCGAGUCCGGAAGAGGCGAGUGGAAUUCCUGGUGUAGCGGUGAAAUGCGCAGAUAUCAGGAGGAACACCAAUGGCGAAGGCAGCUCGCUGGGACGGUACUGACACUGAGACGCGAAAGCGUGGGGAGCAAACAGG
rnacentral:rRNA from 1 species